UACAGGAGUUAGAGGAGGAUGAACAUGGAGGCUGUGAUAUCUGCAUGUAUGAAAACAGUUCAGAAGGAACUGCUUGUGUCAAGGAUGGAGAGAAGAGAAGCACAUCAUAAAACAGGGAAAGGACGAUCCCUUGACAGCAGGGUGAGCACUCAGUGGAGAGUUUUAUAAGGGUUUAAGAGCAGCCAACACAGAGGUACAGCUGCUGGGCACUCACAGAAGAUGAAAUAAGAUCAAUGUAGCAGCAUGGGAGAUAGAUGAACAGAAAUCACCGUCUGAUCUCUGUAUCAGAAGAUGCUCCAGUGAGCAGCUGGAUAAAUCAAUGAUAGCACUCACGUGCUGGACUUUGAAACUGAGCACAAAGGGAUCUAGUCCAGCACACAACGUUUCUACCAUCACCCCAACCCAGGGCUGUGAAAAGCCAAGAACAGACUCCCAAGAAGACCAGAGAAAAGCAAGCUGACAAUAUAGGCAAGAAAGCUGGAACACCAAAAGGAAACAAGACACACGACAUCGACUUAAGAUACCAGGAGUGCUGAAUUGAUUUUGCAAUACCACAGUGCUAUAAUCACAGAAGAUAAGAUAUAGCUCCCAGUGAUGGAUGUGGUUGGAGAACCAGCACCUGGGACAACCAGAAGUGAGGGAUGUUUGACAGCCCCUGGGAUGGAAGUGAAGCACUGCUGGGGGAGUGCAGCCACCACCAGCUGAACUGCAGGCAGGGAAACUCCAUCACACUGACUCAGACCAACUCUGCUUUGAAUUAAAGCAUCUAUUUUAAUACAU